rnacentral:pre_miRNA from 14 species
UGCUUUGGCAACUUAGCGGUAUGACUGAUUUGAAAUUCAUAAAGCUAGAUUACCAAAGCA